UACGUAGGGGGCAAGCGUUGUCCGGAAUUAUUGGGCGUAAAGAGCGUGUAGGCGGCCAGAUAAGUCCGCUGUGAAAUCUCGAGGCUCAACUUCGAGCUGUCGGUGGAAACUAUCUGGCUAGAGUCCGGAAGAGGAGAAUGGAAUUCCUGGUGUAGCGGUGAAAUGCGCAGAUAUCAGGAGGAACACCUAUGGCGAAGGCAGCACUCUGGGACGGUACUGACGCUGAGACGCGAAAGCGUGGGGAGCGAACAGG
rnacentral:rRNA from 1 species